UGAGGAAAAUGGCAGCAGUUAGAGAGCGAAGGAAAGGGGAAAGGGUAGAAGCAGAACGAGCAAAACUAACCUCCUUCAAGGUUUCCAGGGCCUGAGGAAACAAGUCGUGACUGCACUGGAGUUUGGCCACUCUCAUCAUCUGGACGGCCCUCAAAGGAUGGAAGCCAGAAUAAUAAACCCUAGAGGCGUGGAAGGGAGAAAAAUCAUCAUAGCAUCUUUGUCAGCUCUCACCUUCACAGUUCCUGCCUCAGUGGAGAGCUAUUAGGGUGGGCCUGCAAAGCCAUUGUGAAUGUUAAUAAGGUAUUCAGAGAAAAUUAGCUACACGGCGAAGAAGUGUGGAAUACUGAGGGGAAUUAACAAAUUAUUAUUUUUCCUGUCCCUGCAGAAUGACUUUUACAUUAUCCUGUUAGAAAGUGACAGGAGUGGGAGCAAUUUGCACACCUCAGUUCGGCAGCACAAUAGCUCUCUCUAUGCUUCGUGUUAAACAAAGAGGCUUUCUAUCACAGCAGUGCUGAGAUAGUUUCAUUUCCAUGGGAGGUUUUUCAAUGUGGAGACAGGGUCUGUAUUCCGAAUCUUCACAGAGCCUGGGGGAAGAGUCCAUGCGGGACAGCAGGAUGCAGAAUACACAACAGUGAAACUUAUUCACAACUUCAAUUCUGAGGGCUUCCAUUUCCCUAGCCACACAAUAAAAUACAAUAUGUGUCUGCAAAAAUGGCCAAGGGGCUUGCAAUACCUAAAAUGCCCAGCACAAGCAAAUUGAUCCUCAAAAACAUAGUGGCUAAGAAUGUGAGCCAGUUAAAUCCCCAGGUCAAAUCCUUCCUCAGCCACAAACUCAGUAAUUGGCUCCAGAAAAUAUACUAUUUCUUGGGAGCAUUAAUACUGGCCAACCUUACAGGAGCAUUGAGAGGAUUCCUGAAAUAAUGAACACUGUAAAGAUAGUAGACAAAUAGUCAACAAUUGUAGUAGCAGUUGCGGUGUUGCUGUGAAAUAGGCACCUUUAUUCAUUUUCUGGAUAGUUCUCAACACAUGUUUAGAAAGCAGCAACUGAAAAAGCCAUUUUAUAUAGACCUACAUGCCUGUCAGCAUCUCUUGACUAUGGGAUUUCAUUCUGGGGCCACGUUCCAAAGCAAACCUGAGCACCUUUUGCUUUACUAGCAUACAGGAUGGAUCUAGCCUGAUAAAGGUUUAUGCUUUCUUUCCCACUAAUCUGAUGGGACCAGUACUCCCUAUUAACUGCACUGCCAUUAUUCCUGGUUUACAUUCACACACAGAGAUGAAGACAGAGUAAGGCUGCUUGUUUGUAGCACAAGGAACACAUGUAAUGCCCUGGUGUCACUAAUUACUUGCAAUAUUAUGUACUGGAAAUGUCAGUGUUUUAAAGGCAAUCACUCUACAGCUGCAAGAUUUGUACAGUGGUGUAAACUAUUCAGGAUCAGUGUCAUUCAGCAAAGGAAAACAACCCAUUUGAUCAAACAUUUAUCAAUUCUUGCUGGCAGUUCUUCAUGCUAUUUACAAAAAUAAUCUUGUAGUGUAGCUACAGCAGCAGGAAGAAACUUAGAAACAAACCCCAAAUGGCACCAGGGCUUUUCUUUCUUUUUCUUUUCUUUGGGGGUGUGCUAAUUUUGAAAAUUAUAUAUCUCAAAGAAACGAACACAUAACGUAAUACGAAACAUAAAUAACGUAGGAUCAGUACAGCCAUCUGCAUAUUAUUUAUUUAUUGAAAUUAUGUACCAACCUUCCUCCCCAAGGAGCCCACAAUAGCAAAAAGUUGAAUAAGCAAGAGGAUAUGUUGGAAAAUAUAGGGAGGUGAGCUGGGUUAGAUAGUUAAAGGGAAAACUAUCACUUUGCUUUGUAAGAGGUCAGCAUGUUGUUGGUUUGAAAGCAGCUGCUUUUUCCACUGGCUCCUAAAAGAAGAAACAGGUGUGUUCGUCUGGCACCUGUAUGUAUGCAUCAUUAUUAUCAAUAAACGAAAUAAAAUCUUGCCAGUUUGUGUAGUCUGUAGUUUUAUUAUCUCUCAGAGUUCUUAGAUAGCAUGUUAAUUUUCCCAUUAUGGCAAAGCUCCAGA